rnacentral:tRNA from 1 species
UGGGAGAUCGUCUAAUGGUAGGACGAACGGUUCUGGUCCGUUUAAUCGGGGUUCGAGUCCCUGUCUCCCAG